ACCCAACAAGGAAGUGACGGCUAACUACGUGCCAGCAGCCGCGGUAAAACGUAGGUCACAAGCGUUGUCCGGAAUUACUGGGUGUAAAGGGAGCGCAAGCGGGAAGACAAGUUGGAAGUGAAAUCUAUGGGCUCAACCCAUAAACUGCUUUCAAAACUGUUUUUCUUGAGUAGUGCAGAGGUAGGCGGAAUUCCCGGUGUAGCGGUGGAAUGCGUAUAUAUCGGGAGGAACACCAUUGGCGAAGGCGGCCUACUGGGCACCAACUGACGCUGACGCUCGAAAGUGUGGGUAGCAAACAGGAUUAAAUACCCUGGUAGUCCACACCGUAAACGAUGAUUACUAGGUGUUGGAGGAUUGACCCCUUCUGUGCC
rnacentral:rRNA from 1 species